GCGAACUUCUACAAAGGGAGAUACUUCCUUCGAGGUUUAGAAAUGCACCAUCCCCUGUUUAAUGAAAACUGCAAUAUCUUCGUUGAUAUUCUGCCUUUUGUCCAACCGAUCGCAAAAUCCGCGAAACACCUAUCUGUUUUGCCCGACAUACCACCAGUGAAACGAAUAAAACCAUUCAACAAUGACGCAGACAACCUGAGCUUCCCUAACUGUGGAACGAAAAUGACUGCGAGUCAAGAAAGAGACUUUUCUGAGGAUAAUGAAGUGACGCAAUAUAUUUUUUCCGGAUACCAAGCGCAGCAAAACGGACAUCCGUGGCAUGCGAAAGUUGUCUACACUACAGACCAAGACAUCUGUGGAGGUACCCUCAUCUCGAGAAGAGCAGUUCUAACAGCUGCACACUGCCUUUUAGGAAGAGAUGUGAGCAAUUUUGAAGUGUCGAUCGGUAUUUAUGAUAAUUCGAGGACGAUCGGUAAAGGAAUUCAAACGAAUAAG